rnacentral:lncRNA from 1 species
AGUAGAGAGAAGCCCAUCUCCCACAGCAGAAUGCAUUUUCUCUGAGUUUACAGAGAGCCAAACAGAAGGACUCAAGUCAUUGAUUUUGAGAUCAGAAGCUCAACAUUCAAAUCCUGGUUCUUUCACUUAAUGCCUGUGUGAUCUCAGAAAAAAAGAUUAUGUAUCCUGAGAUGAAUACAUGUGACAAUUUAAGAAGGGGAUGAAGCAGUUAACAACUGGGGACAAGAGGUAGGCACAGGUCAUCUU